GAUGAACGCUGGCGGCGUGCCUAAUACAUGCAAGUCGAGCGAACAGACGAGGAGCUUGCUCCUCUGACGUUAGCGGCGGACGGGUGAGUAACACGUGGAUAACCUACCUAUAAGACUGGGAUAACUUCGGGAAACCGGAGCUAAUACCGGAUAAUAUAUUGAACCGCAUGGUUCAAUAGUGAAAGACGGUUUUGCUGUCACUUAUAGAUGGAUCCGCGCCGCAUUAGCUAGUUGGUAAGGUAACGGCUUACCAAGGCAACGAUGCGUAGCCGACCUGAGAGGGUGAUCGGCCACCCUGGAACUGAGACACGGUCCAGACUCCUACGGGAGGCAGCAGUAGGGAAUCUUCCGCAAUGGGCGAAAGCCUGACGGAGCAACGCCGCGUGAGUGAUGAAGGUCUUCGGAUCGUAAAACUCUGUUAUUAGGAAAGAACAAAUGUGUAAGUAACUAUGCACGUCUUGACGGUACCUAAUCAGAAAGCCACGGCUAACUACGUG
rnacentral:rRNA from 1 species